rnacentral:ncRNA from 1 species
AUAUUCCGACAGGGGAGCGCCACAGCGCUGAGAGUGCGGUAAUCGGCCGCAGACCCUCUGAACCUCGCCCAGGUCAUUCUGGGUAGGAAGUUCGGUCGCUACUCAAG